rnacentral:rRNA from 1 species
UACAGAGGGGGCAAGCGUUGUUCGGAAUUACUGGGCGUAAAGGGCGCGUAGGUGGCCUUCUUAGUCGAACGUGAAAUCCCCGGGCUCAACCCGGGAACUGCGUCCGAUACUGGAAGGCUUGAAUUCGGGAGAGGGAUGCGGAAUUCCAGGUGUAGCGGUGAAAUGCGUAGAUAUCUGGAGGAACACCGGUGGCGAAGGCGGCAUCCUGGACCGGCAUUGACGCUGAGGCGCGAAAGCCAGGGGAGCAAACGGG